GAUGAAGAACGUAGCGAAAUGCGAUAAGUAAUGUGAAUUGCAGAACUCAGUGAAUCAUCGAAUCUUUGAACGCACAUUGCGCCCCUUGGUAUUCCGAGGGGCAUGCCUGUUCGAGCGUCAUUAUAACCCCUCAAGCUCAGCUUGGUGUUGGGGCCUGCCGCACGGGCAGCCCUUAAAAUCAGUGGCGGUGCCAUCUGGCUCUAAGCGUAGUAAUUCUUCUCGCUAUAGAGUCCCGGUGGAUGCUUGCCAUUAACCCCCAAUUUUCUAUGGUUGACCUCGGAUCAGGUAGGGAUACCCGCUGAACUUAAGCAUAUCAAUAAGCGGAGGA
rnacentral:misc_RNA from 1 species